rnacentral:rRNA from 1 species
UACGAAGGGGGCUAGCGUUGUUCGGAAUCACUGGGCGUAAAGCGCACGUAGGCGGAUUUUUAAGUCAGGGGUGAAAUCCCGAGGCUCAACCUCGGAACUGCCUUUGAUACUGGGGAUCUGGAAUCCGGGAGAGGUGAGCGGAACUGCGAGUGUAGAGGUGAAAUUCGUAGAUAUUCGCAAGAACACCAGUGGGCGAAGGCGGCUCACUGGCCCGGA